rnacentral:rRNA from 1 species
GUGAGGAAUAUUGCGCAAUGGAGGCAACUCUGACGCAGCCAUGCCGCGUGCAGGAAGAAGGCGCUACGCGUUGUAAACUGCUUUUAACCGGGAAGAAACCCCAGGACGUGUCCUGGGUUGACGGUACCGGAGGAAUAAGCACCGGCUAACUUCGUGCCAGCAGCCGCGGUAAUACGAAGGGUGCAAGCGUUAUCCGGAUUCAUUGGGUUUAAAGGGUGCGUAGGCGGAGCGUUAAGUCAGUGGUGAAAUCCAGCAGCUUAACUGUAGACUUGCCAUUGAUACUGGCGCUCUUGAGUGCGCUUGAAGUGGGCGGAAUGUGCCGUGUAGCGGUGAAAUGCUUAGAUAUGGCACAGAACACCAAUUGCGAAGGCAGCUCACUAAGGCGAUACUGACGCUGAGGCACGAAAGCGUGGGGAUCGAACAGGAUUAGAUACCCGAGUAGUCC